GAGUGGUCAAUCCCAUCUUGACACACGCACCGACAAGUCAAGUACUUGACUACACCCAGCAGCCUAACGUCACUGAAUUAGAAAUUCAGGUAGUCCAGUGCCUAAGUGCAGUGAGUUGCUUGCAAGUCACCGUGGCGAUCUCAGGUCAGAGGGAUAUUUAUACCCAUAUUUCAUCAGAGCAAAUCUUGACAGUAGAAAUUGCUCCAAAGUCGGUCACAUUCAGUACAGAUGUACCCUUACAUCUCACCUAUAUGCCAUACCAAUGUCUCCACACUCAUUGGUUAAGAGGACAACCAACCUAUAUGGCACACAACGACCUAUGCUUGAUAAACGUUGUCAUCCUUGGUAACAACGUAUCAUUUGAUCGCGAACAGAUUUAAGGACUAAACGACAAAUCCUCCUUUGUCGAGUCUAAAUAGUCCU
rnacentral:lncRNA from 1 species